UACAGAGGGUGCGAGCGUUAAUCGGAAUUACUGGGCGUAAAGCGUGCGUAGACGGUUAUUUAAGUCGGGUGUGAAAGCCCCGGGCUCAACCUGGGAAUUGCAUUCGAGACUGAAUAGCUAGGGUACGGUAGAGGGAAGUGGAAUUUCCGGUGUAGCGGUGAAAUGCGUAGAUAUCAGGAGGAACACCGAUGGCGAAGGCAGCCCCCUGGGCUAGCACUGACGCUCAGGCACGAAAGCGUGGGGAGCAAACAGG
rnacentral:rRNA from 1 species